rnacentral:rRNA from 1 species
UCGCCAGGGUACUACGAGCAACAGCUUGAAACCCAAAGGACUUGGCGGUGUCCCAAAUCCACUCAGAGGAGCCUGUUCUGUAAUCGAUACCCCCCGCUAAACCUCACCUUCCCUUGCUAAUUCAGCCUAUAUACCACCGUCAUGUCAGCCUACCUUGUGGAAAGAUAUAACAGUAAGCAAAAUGAAUCCAUCCAUACGUCAGGUCAAGGUGUAGCACAUGGGACGGGAAGAAAUGGGCUACAUUUUCUUAUAAAGAAUAACACGGAUAAGCUAAAUGAAAACAACUUUGAAGGCGGAUUUGACAGUAAAAAGAAACAUUUACAUUCUCUUUAAACCGGCCCUGGGGGGCGC